UACGGGGGGAGCAAGCGUUGGUCGGAUUUACUGGGCGUAAAGGGCGCGUAGGCGGUCGUGACAAGUCACUUGUGAAAUCUCCGGGCUUAACUCGGAACGGCCAAGUGAUACUGUCGGACUAGAGUACAGAAGGGGCAACUGGAAUUCUCGGUGUAGCGGUGAAAUGCGUAGAUAUCGAGAGGAACACCUGCGGCGAAGGCGGGUUGCUGGGCUGAUACUGACGCUGAGGCGCGAAAGCCAGGGGAGCGAACGGG
rnacentral:rRNA from 1 species